GCCCACGUAGCUCAGGGGAUAGAGCGUCUGCCUCCGGAGCAGAAGGCCGCAGGUUCGAAUCCUGCCGUGGGCA
rnacentral:tRNA from 2 species